GAUGAACGCUAGCGGCAGGCCUAAUACAUGCAAGUCGAGGGGCAGCACGGGUAGCAAUACUUGGUGGCGACCGGCGCACGGGUGCGUAACGCGUAUGCAAUCUACCUUUUACUGGGGCAUAGCCCGGAGAAAUUCGGAUUAAUACCCCAUAAUAUCAUUUGAUGGCAUCUGAUGAUGAUUAAAGAACUUCGGUAAAAGAUGAGCAUGCGUGACAUUAGCUAGUUGGUGAGGUAACGGCUCACCAAGGCGACGAUGUCUAGGGGAUCUGAGAGGACUACCCCCCACACUGGUACUGAGACACGGACCAGACUCCUACGGGAGGCAGCAGUAAGGAAUAUUGGUCAAUGGGGGCAACCCUGAACCAGCCAUGCCGCGUGCAGGAAGACGGACCUAUGGUUUGUAAACUGCUUUUGUACGGGAGAAAACCCCUUUACGUGUAAAGGAUUGAUAGUACCGUAAGAAUAAGGAUCGGCUAACUUCGUGCCAGCCGCCGCAGUAA
rnacentral:rRNA from 1 species